UGGGGAAUUUUGGACAAUGGGGGCAACCCUGAUCCAGCCAUUCCGCGUGAGUGAAGAAGGCCUUCGGGUUGUAAAGCUCUUUCGGCAGGAACGAAACGGCGAGCUCUAACAUAGCUUGCUAAUGACGGUACCUGAAGAAGAAGCACCGGCUAACUACGUGCCAGCAGCCGCGGUAAUACGUAGGGUGCGAGCGUUAAUCGGAAUUACUGGGCGUAAAGCGUGCGCAGGCGGUUAUGUAAGACAGAUGUGAAAUCCCCGGGCUCAACCUGGGAACUGCAUUUGUGACUGCAUAGCUAGAGUACGGCAGAGGGGGGUAGAAUUCCACGUGUAGCAGUGAAAUGCGUAGAUAUGUGGAGGAACACCGAUGGCGAAGGCAGCCCCCUGGGUCAAGAUUGACGCUCAUGCACGAAAGCGUGGGGAGCAAACA
rnacentral:rRNA from 1 species